AUUUUCUUAGUUUAAUUGGUUAGAACUGCAUUCUUCUAAAGUGCAAAUUUUGGUUCGAAUCCAAAAGAAAAUA
rfam:Crinipellis perniciosa mitochondrion, complete genome.